AUUGAACGCUGGCGGCAGGCCUAACACAUGCAAGUCGAACGGGACCUUCGGGUCUAGUGGCGGACGGGUGAGUAACGCGUGGGAACGUGCCCUUUGGUUCGGAAUAGCCUCGGGAAACUGGGAGUAAUACCGGAUACGGUCGAGAGACGAAAGAUUUAUCGCCGAAGGAUUGGCCCGCGUUGGAUUAGGUAGUUGGUGGGGUAAAGGCCUACCAAGCCGACGAUCCAUAGCUGGUUUGAGAGGAUGAUCAGCCACACUGGGACUGAGACACGGCCCAGACUCCUACGGGAGGCAGCAGUGGGGAAUCUUAGACAAUGGGGGAAACCCUGAUCUAGCCAUGCCGCGUGAUCGAUGAAGGCCUUAGGGUGUAAAGAUCUUUCACCGGUGAAGAUAAUGACGGUAACCGGAGAAGAAGCCCCGGCUAACUUCGUGCCAGCAGCCGCGGUAAAGUGACUACUG
rnacentral:rRNA from 1 species